CCGGCGUCUCCGGGUCCCUCUCCUUCGGGGAAUUCGGCAAACACAAGCCCUGCAGCAGAGAUGAGGCCUGUAAUCCAGACACUUCAAGGUCAUGGGAGCUGUCACCUUCUCCUAGAAUCUCCAUAUUGAGCAGCAGUCGGGGAGCCAUAUUGAUGAAAUAGAGUGUCUUUCUUUUUCUCUACCAUCCACAUAAGAACUUAACUCAAGCACUUACAGCAUUAGAGAAAAGAAUAUUGUCUUCCAUAAACCAAUUCAUUGGCUGGAGAGGGCCAGUCUGGAUACCCAAGAAUUCAUUAUAUUAAACGUUUGUUUUAUUGUU